rnacentral:rRNA from 1 species
UUCUGGACAAUACUGACGCUGAGAUGCGAAGCGUGGGGAGCAAACAGGAUUAGAUACCUGGUAGUCACGCUGUAAACGAUGUCGAUUUGGAGUUUGGGGGCAUGACCCUUGGGCUCCGGAGCUAACGCGUUAAAUCGACCGCUGGGGAGUACGGCCGCAAGGUUAAAACUCAAAUGAAUUGACGGGGGCCCGCACAAGCGGUGGAGCAUGUGGUUUAAUUCGAUGCAACGCGAAGAACCUUACCUGGUCUUGACAUCCAUAGAAUCUUGUAGAGAUACGAGAGUGCCUUCGGGAGCUAUGAGACAGGUGCUGCAUGGCUGUCGUCAGCUCGUGUUGUGAAAUGUUGGGUUAAGUCCCGCAACGAGCGCAACCCUUAUCCUUUGUUGCCAGCGGGUAAAGCCGGGAACUCAAAGGAGACUGCCGUUGAUAAAGCGGAGGAAGGUGGGGACGACGUCAAGUCAUCAUGGCCCUUACGACCAGGGCUACACACGUGCUACAAUGGCGUAUACAAAGGGAAGCGAAGGUGCGAACUGGAGCGGACCUCCUAAAGUACGUCUAAGUCCGGAUUGGAGUCUGCAACUCGACUCCAUGAAGUCGGAAUCGCUAGUAAUCGUGAAUCAGAAUGUCACGGUGAAUACGUUCCCGGGCCUUGUACACACCGCCCGUCACACCAUGGGAGUGGGUUGCACCAGAAGUAGAUAGCUUAACCGAAAGGAGGGCGUUUACCACGGUGUGAUUCAUGACUGGGGUGAAGUCGUAACAAGGUAACCA